rnacentral:rRNA from 1 species
CCUACGGGAGGCAGCAGUGAGGAAUAUUGGUCAAUGGACGCAAGUCUGAACCAGCCAAGUAGCGUGCAGGAUGACGGCCCUCCGGGUUGUAAACUGCUUUUAGUUGGGAAUAAAAGGGGGCUCGUGAGCCCCGUAUUGUAUGUACCAUCAGAAUAAGGAUCGGCUAACUCCGUGCCAGCAGCCGCGGUAAUACGGAGGAUCCGAGCGUUAUCCGGAUUUAUGGGGUUUAAGGGGAGCGUAGAUGGGUUGUUAAGUCAGUUGUGAAAGUUUGCGGCUCAACCGUAAAAUUGCAAUUGAUACUGGCAGUCUUGAGUACAGUUGAGGUAGGCGGAAUUCGUGGUGUAGCGGUGAAAUGCUUAGAUAUCACGAAGAACUCCGAUUGCGAAGGCAGCUUACUAAACUUCCACUGACAUUGAUGCUCGAAAGUGUGGGUAUCAAACAGGAUUAGAUACCCGUGUAGUC